CUCCUCCACCCCCUCCCUCCGUGUGUUUGUUGUGCCUCGGCACCGUCCCGCCGGCGCGUCCCCUCGGAGCGGCGGCCGCUGACAGCUCCCCCCGCGCCGCCCAAACUCCUGCCUCAACUUUGCGUGUAUGCGCGGGGAGGGGAGGGUACGGGGGUGUCCUCCCCGCCACCCGCCGGGAACCGUGCUUUUCCUUCCAAAAAAAAAAAGAGGGAGGGGGCAUAACAAGGUGGGGGGGAAAGCGCCGAGGAAACACCGUCAAAGCAUAGGGAGCACCCAGGGCGACGCUGAAAGCAGCCGCCGAGCGUCCUGGAAGGGAACGGACCCAAAAAGGAGAAGGGGGAAGGUGCAAUAGCAAGGGGGGAAAGGAGGAAGAGGGUGAAGGGGGAAGAGCUAAAGAGAAACUCUGAAGGAGGAGGAGAAGAAAGGAAUAGGGACGGUGAAAGAAAAGUGGGAAAGGGAGAGCAGGCGGAGGAAGACAAAGUCAGCAGGACGAGAGAGACACAUGGAUGAUGAUGAUGAGGAUGAAGAUGAGGAUGGUGAUGGGGAUCCCGAUGCUCCUCCUGCUCCCGCGGCUCCUCUCCUCCUCACCUCCGCCUCCUCCACCUCCGCCUCGCAUCGCUGGCCUCAGCCGCCGCCGACCAGCACAGGAAAAGCCCCGUCUGGAUGAGAGUCGCCGCUUCGCAGCGGGGAGCCCCCCGCCCCGCCCCGCGCUCCCCAGGACGGCGGCCCCGGGGGCAGCGCUCGAUGCCCGCCCUGGCGGCGCUCGCUCGCUCGCUGCACCCCCGCCCCGAGUCGCGGGGGGACCCCCAGAGAGGCGGCAGGAGCCCGGCGGCUCCCCAGGAGCGCCCCCCCUUCCCCCCGCCGCGCGUCUGCGGCUCCGGGGCGGGGGAGGCGGGAGGAGCCGCGGGCGCCCCGGGGGAUGGGAAGGGAAGGAGGGAGGGAGCAGAGUUCAGCGCUGUGUGCGAGGGAGACAAAGUCUGGGGAGCGUGGCCGCUUUCCAGCAGCUCGGGCUGGAACAGCUGCGGCCGCUCGGGGCGGGGUGAGGGGGGGCUCCCCGGGCAGGGGCCCGGCUGGCUGCCUGCCCGCCCGGCUGCGGGGCGGGGUUAAGCCUCAUUACACGGGAUUUAACGUGUCCCGGAGGCCAGGAGGGACUCGGGCUCUGAGGGUGGGGGGGGAGGGAAGCGCGGCGGCGUCGCAGCCGGAGAAAAGUCCGGCCACGGGGCGAGGAAGCGGCCGCGCCCCCGGACUUUCCUCCCGGGCGCUGCCCCGACUCGCUCCGGCGCCCGCGGCGGGAGCGGCACCGGCGGGGCCGCUGGAGCGGAGCUGGCUCGGGGCCCCCCCGCCCGGCACCGCCCUCAGGGCACCCCCGGAGCCGCCCUCCCCGCCGCGGGGCCCCAGCACGGCCGCCCCUCCCUCUCUGCCGUCUCUCCUUCCCUCUCGGGGCCGGAGCGGCGGGCGCGGAGGGAGCGGUCUCGCUGCGCAGAUGCUGAAUCACGAAACGGGUCGCACGGACAGAAAAGGAACGCGGUGACUCGUGUUCGGGAACUUCGCCGGACUUGCAGACGUGGUGGGGAGCUAUAGACCCCCAAGGCUCCGCGUAAACGCAGCCCGCACUGAGCGCUACUCCUGUGGCGUUUGGGUUUCUAUGUUUGAAUCCCAGUUACUAAAAUGGCCCGGGGUAGCACAGAGGUACAACGAGGAAGGGAGGUAAGGAGGAGAUGAUGUUAGUCGCUAUUUUUAUUUCUUUUUUUUAAAGUAAAAAUAAACACAAAGCACUCCAGACCAUUACAGUGCUCUUCCUUCCCGAGUUUUUCACUUGUCCGCUUCAAAAUACUAAAUAAAAAAGGUAUGCUGUGGCCUUUUGCUUGCCUGUUUUCUUCAGAACCGCUUCAUAACAGAAUGCCUUCAUUGAUUCAUUUUCUAGGUUUGUGAGUAAUUAAAUUAGACUUUUGCAACAUUUUCAUGUAAGGUAUUAGAAAAUAACAUCUUCAUCUAUACACAUACAUAUACAAAUAUAUAAAAUUAUAUAAAGCCAUCCCUUUUGCCAUGCAAGAACAACAGCUGGAUUGUUGGUGUGACUUUCUUGGCCCUGUCACUGAAAAUGUACUCCUUUAUGCCAAAUUAAAAUAUAUAUCCUGAGCUAAA